CCUACGGGUGGCAGCAGUGGAGAAUAAUGCACAAUGGGGGAAAGCCUGAUGGAGCGACGCCGCGUGGGGGAAGGAAGGUCUGCGGAUUGUAAACCCCUGUUAUGUGGGAGCAAAUUAAAAAGAUAGUACCACAAGAGGAAGAGACGGCGAACUCUGGGCCAGCAGCCGCGGGAAUACAGAGGUCUCAAGCGGUGUUCGGAAUUACUGGGCGUAAAGCGUGCGUAGGCGGUUUCGUAAGUCGGGUGUGAAAGGCGCGGGCUCAACCCGCGGACGGCACAUGAUACUGCGAGACUAGAGUAAUGGAGGGGGGACCGGAAUUCUCGGUGUAGCGGUGAAAUGCGUAGAUAUCGCGAGGAACACUCGUGGCGAAGGCGGGUUCCUGGACAUUAACUGACGCUGAGGCACGAAGGCCAGGGGAGCGAACAGGAUUAGAUACCCCUGUAGUC
rnacentral:rRNA from 1 species